rnacentral:rRNA from 1 species
GAUGAACGCUGGCGGCGUGCCUAAUACAUGCAAGUCGAGCGAACAGAUGAGGAGCUUGCUCCUCUGACGUUAGCGGCGGACGGGUGAGUAACACGUGGAUAACCUACCUAUAAGACUGGGAUAACUUCGGGAAACCGGAGCUAAUACCGGAUAAUAUAUUGAACCGCAUGGUUCAAUAGUGAAAGACGGUUUUGCUGUCACUUAUAGAUGGAUCCGCGCCGCAUUAGCUAGUUGGUAGGGUAACGGCUUACCAAGGCAACGAUGCGUAGCCGACCUGAGAGGGUGAUCGGCCACCCUGGACCUGAGCCCCGGUCCAGACUCCUACGGGAGGCAGCAGUGGGGAAUCUUCCGCAAUGGGCGAAAGCCUGACGGAGCAACGCCGCGUGAGUGAUGAAGGUCUUCGGUUCGUAAACCUCUGUUAUUAGGGAAGAACAAAUGUGUAAGUAACUAUGCACGUCUUGCCGGUACCUAAGCAGAAAGCCCCGGCUACCUACGU